UGGUUCCAUGGUUCUCAACAUCAUAAACUCAUUCAUCAGCUUCAUUGGAUUAAUACUGGCUUCCUUAGAUAUGUACAUAGUUACGGAACAAUGUCAUCAACAUUUUCGGUCUGAAAUAAGAUGUGCAGCAUUUGGGGGAAUGGCAACUGCUUCUAUUCUUCUGGUCAGUGAUUUCCUCUUGCUGUUGAUUUUCAUAUAUUCUGCUGUCCUUGGAGGGCGCUCUAUGAAACAUGUGCCAAGUAUUCCUCAGGCAUGUUAGGCAUCAGGAGUGUGAUAUCUUCAAUCAACCAGAGCUUAAAUGGUCUAGAUGGUCCAAGGGUUGUACCGAUUACAGAAAACCUACCUGCAUAAGAAUACAUUGUAUUGUACCCAAAGCUAAUUGCUAAAAAUAGGAUCAAAUUUACAAGACAUCACUGAAAAAGGCCACACAAGUGAUAUACAAGGGCAGGUUAAAAUACCAGUUACCAGUUGGUUGUAGACAAGCCACAAUGCAGAAGGAUACAUAGACGCUUGUCUAUACUUAGUAUCCUGAAUGCAUAAGGUGCCAACAUGUAGUGCACCAUGUUGGCUACCAACCUAUUACUCAUGUCCAUACUAUUAGAUCACAAGAACGUUCUGCGAGAUGAAAUUAUUGUCCUCAUUAUUAACUUAUCUACAAUGUUAUAUUACGUUAAUUUAAAUAACUCUUGAAUAUACACUAGAACAAUUCCCAGAAGGAAACAUGGUAGGCAAUUACCCAGCCAAUACUAGAUACAUAGUCCCAAUUCACACUGCACUAGAUAAGGGUUGAUAAAUUUGUCAAGGAUGUUGCACAUUUCUCACUUCUCCUCUCUGAGAGGAUCCACACCAUUUUCUCUAUAACUGUUUACCAGGCUUAAAGAUGAGGCUUCCAUACUGAACUCUGAUGGGCUACAACAUAUAAAGGGGCUUUCCAGGCUCCUGAUAUUGAUAACCUAUUUUCAGGAAAGAUCAUUACUAUUGGAUUGGUGAGGGUCCGACACUCCACAUCCACACUGAUCAGCUGAAUGGGAGAUGACCUGCUAUGACCCAUCAUGGCCACUAGACUGUCUACACCAGGGAUGCUCAUCCUGCGGUCCUUCAGCUGUUGCAAAACUACAACUCCCAGCAUGCCCUAAUAGCUGUAGGCUGGCCAGGCAUACUGGGAGGUGUAGUUUUGCAACAGCUGGAGGGCUGCAGGUUGGGCAUCCCUGGUCUACACAGUCUGCUUCUUGCUCCACUCAAGAUCUAGUUCCAGCACCGUGAACAGCUGAUCUGCGGGAGUGCAGGGUGUCAGACCCUCACCAAUUGGAUAGUAAUGACCUUUCCUGAUUAUAGAUCAUCAAUAUCAGGAACCUGAAAAACUCCUUUAAUAAUUGUCUACACGGUCCUCCUUCCUGUCAACUACCGUGAUGAGAUAAAAUGUUCAAACCACCUAAGAUCCUCACCCCUGGCCACAGUGCAACCAUCAACAGGGCAGGUGGGUGGGCAGAUCACUGCCUACGAAUAUCUUGCUUAAAUCAGGUACAGACCCCUUCCUAAACAGAUUUCCCGGACCAACAGUUCCCACCUCUCUUCUUGUAGGCCCCUCCUGCUGAGCUGACUUCUGCCUCCCCGCUCUUUCUCCUCCAUACUAUUUCUGCCUUAGGGUACUUUCACACUAGCGUUUUUCUUUUCCGGCAUAGAGUUCCGUCACAGGAGCUCUAUACCGGAAAAUAACUGAUCAGUUUUAUCCCCAUGCAUUCUGAAUGGAGAGCAAUUCA